GUAGGGUGCAAGCGUUAAUCGGAAUUACUGGGCGUAAAGCGUGCGCAGGCGGUUGUGCAAGACCGAUGUGAAAUCCCCGGGCUUAACCUGGGAAUGGCAUUGGUGACUGCACGGCUAGAGUGUGUCAGAGGGGGGUAGAAUUCCACGUGUAGCAGUGAAAUGCGUAGAGAUGUGGAGGAAUACCGAUGGCGAAGGCAGCCCCCUGGGAUAACACUGACGCUCAUGCACGAAAGCGUGGGGAGCAAACAGGAUUAGAUACCCUGGUAGUCCACGCCCUAAACGAUGUCAACUAGUUGUCGGGUCUUAAUUGACUUGGUAACGCAGCUAACGCGUGAAGUUGACCGCCUGGGGAGUACGGUCGCAAGAUUA
rnacentral:rRNA from 1 species